UGGGGAAUAUUGGACAAUGGGCGCAAGCCUGAUCCAGCCAUGCCGCGUGAGUGAAGAAGGCCUUCGGGUUGUAAAGCUCUUUAAGCGGGGAGGAAGGUUCGCAACCUAAUACGUUGUGGAAUUGACGUUACCUGCAGAAUAAGCACCGGCUAACUCUGUGCCAGCAGCCGCGGUAAUACAGAGGGUGCGAGCGUUAAUCGGAAUUACUGGGCGUAAAGCGUGCGUAGGCGGUUACUUAAGUUGGGUGUGAAAUCCCCGGGCUUAACCUGGGAACUGCACCCAAGACUGGGUAACUCGAGUCUGGGAGAGGGUGGUGGAAUUUCCGGUGUAGCGGUGAAAUGCGUAGAUAUCGGAAGGAACAUCAGUGGCGAAGGCGACCGCCUGGCCUAAGACUGACGCU
rnacentral:rRNA from 1 species